rnacentral:rRNA from 1 species
CACGUAGUUAGCCGUGGCUUUCUGAUCAGGUACCGUCAAGAUGUGCACAGUUACUUACACAUUUGUUCUUCCCUGAUAACAGAGUUUUACGAUCCGAAGACCUUCAUCACUCACGCGGCGUUGCUCCGUCAGGCUUUCGCCCAUUGCGGAAGAUUCCCUACUGCUGCCUCCCGUAGGAUCUGGACCGUGUCUCAGUUCCAGUGUGGCCGAUCACCCUCUCAGGUCGGCUACGUAUCGUUGCCUUGGUAAGCCGUUACCUUACCAACUAGCUAAGUACGGCGCGGAUCCAUCUAUAAGUGACAGCAAAGCCGCCUUUCACUUAUUAGAACCAUGACGGUUCAAAUUAUGUUAAACCGGGUAUUAACGGUC